GAAGGGUCACAGAGCGGUGUGACCUCACAAAGCUUGUAUAUUAUUGAAGAGAGGCUUUUUUAUAUCACCACAUCUCAACUAACACCUCAGUGUUUGUUGGAAGACAUCAUGUAUGUAGUUUUAAAAAUACUAAGUGUCAAAUGAGUGACACAGAACACUCUGUCAUAUCACAGUGCUUUGUGGAUAGAGACAAGGUGGCAUAUGCUAAUAGAAUAUAUUGAUAUUUAUCUUCUUAAAUAUCCAUCUCAUUCUCCCUGAUAGCAUGGGAAGCCUUGCAAGGAUUGUCCUGCCGUUCUUUCAAGCCCUAGCUCUUGGCACAUUGUAGACACAGAUAACUCUGUGCUUUAUGACUGCAGUUGUCAGUUCAACCACAGAGCGUUCAGAGCAGAGAAAGUCUCUGGGGGUUACAUGCAAGGGACUUGAAGUUGGGAAAAAGGCUUUGAAAAAAUGAAGGAGAAAGAUGAAAUGUAUUCCAGGUCAUAAGACAUUCAUUCCAGAGAGAGUCCUGCCCCACCUCUGAGAAGGAAGGAAUGUACACUCAAGAGAGAUCAAGAAGAAUCUAAACAAACAGGCCCUUCUGCGUUUUCCCACAAGAGAAAAUGAUCUAAUUAACAUUCGAUCAUAACUUUUUGUCCAAUUAUAUUUCUACACUGCUGUUCAUACUUUAUUUAACCUAGGCAUAAAAAUUGACAAUUUUUAUUGUAUUUUUGGCUCUUCAUUCUGAAGGCUUCCAUGUAUACAUGUUAAAUAAAUUUGUACACCUUUUCUCCAA